AAAAUUGUACUGUUUCUCUAAGCUAUUAUAAAACUAUAUUAGAGAUAGACGAUGAAUAAAACUUAUAGUGAUAUUAACACGAGUUUUAUCAGCGGUUGAGAUUUGGACUGUUUCUUUUUUUUCUUUUUCUUUUGCAGGUGGGCAGGUUUUACGGGUGGAAACUGUCAAAUCUGGCAACCCGCCAUGUUUGUGUGAGGCGCAUGCGCCAUGCUGGAUAUAAAUAUGGCGCAUUUUCUACGUCAGUGUUUAAAUGAAGGCGCGGCUUGCACCUGGCCGCAGAAGACAUGAAACCAGCGUUCUGCUAUUCCUCCAUCCUGGCACUUGGAUUACAAAAUGGUCUUUUCUGAUCUCGAAAGACGCAGAAUCCGCGUGGACGCCCAACCUAAAUGACUCAAAACUUUUGCGGAUCUAUUUGAAAUGGUCUCCGUGUUGACGGGGCCUACCUGCUGAGGGAUCUGCUUGGGUAGGCCGCGAGAGCGCCAUGUUUGAAAUAGCUGCAUUUGUUAGUCGGUAAGUUAUUUUUCAGAAACCUUAUUCGAAGUUGUUUGUUUGUCACUGAAGUCAUUGAAACCAUAUUUUUGUGGUUAAACAGAGCAGCAGACGAGGAACGACAGGAACAUGGCGUCUCAGCGGUGGAUUGUUUGGCCGACCUGAGGAGGGACAAUAUGGCGUCUGGAACUAGCAGCAGAUCGAUUAUGGAUAUACUACGAUGAUCUUCAAUCAAGCUGAGGAUCGCUUCCGUCAAGCUGAGGAAACGCUACAAGGUGCCUGGCGGAUCCGCCCAACCCAUCAAAGGUUGGUUAAGUCAAAGAACUGUUCCAAUGGCGGGUCCAGAAGACAUCUCAGGGUAGGAGCUGUUGCGGGUUUUGCUGUGCUAUGCUGCGGACGCCACCGCUGUUGCUGAAGGCCAACGCUAGGCCUCUUGGUUUGAUUCUCUGCUGAGAUUCAAUGAGCUGAGAAGGAUUCUGCUGUUAAUCCUUCUGUCGUUAGGGUUUUGUGUGCUGUUUGAAACAGCUGCUGUGGUCAUGUGACCUGUAGAGGUUUAUGCCAUCUAGCAUUUUGGAAUUUCAAGUUCAUAGCUGAAAGUCAGUUGUGAUGGAAAAGAAAGAUGGCUGCCAAUGAUUUGGCAAUUACAGUUUAGAGGCUACAGGAAGUGAUUUAGCUUAAUAAAUAUCAGUAUCAUAAACAUUGAUAACAUACCUACACAUUAGGGAUAAUUUUUACAUACCUUUUUUAUUUUUUGUAUCUACUAAACAUUUGAAAUUUAAUCAAAUAUUUCAAAGAUAGGGUCAAUAAUUCAAAAAGUCACAAAUUUCAUUUACGUUCAACAAUUUAAAUUCAAGCGUGAAAACAGAUUUUAUUUUUGCGUCAAAACUUGCGGCGUCGUGAUAUUUCAUUUCUUCUGGACAAAGACUCGUGGACUCCUGCAAUUUCAUUUCUUCUGGAAGACGACUGCCAACAGAAAGAUCUGGAGCUGCAGGUCAGAGGUCACAGAGGUAAUGUAUACACUAAUCCACCAUGUCUUUGCAGGUUUUCAGCUGGAAUUAACUCCCAUGUUUUCCUUCUAGAUCUGGAACCUGUCUGUAUUUGCAUCUGUUUUUAACCCAGUUUUUUUUCCUAGAUAAAGCUUCUGGCUGACUUUGUGUUGCAUCUAACUUCUUUUUUCUCAUAGAUAAGCCACUAAAAGAGUUUCAACUGCAACUAAAUCUUUCAAUUCUCCUUUAGAAAUGCUCCUGGAGCAGUUCUUUCUUUUUGUCUCUCUCUUUAUUCUGUCCUUUCAAAUCCCCGGGGGUAGUGACAGAUGGCCUUUCAUACAGAGCCGACUUCUGGUUCUGCUGGAGGGUUCUUCCUGUUAAAGGGAAGUUUUUCCUCCCCACUGUCACUACAUGCAUCCUCAAUAGGAGGCAUUUCUUUAGUUUACUUAACCUUUAACCAAUUUAAAUAAUUGGUACAGGGUUGUUUUCUUUUGGAUAGUCUUCCUGUUAAAGGGAAGUUUUUCUUAACUGUCACCACAGCUAUCCUCAAUGAGGCAUUGCUUAUGUAACCAUUAGUCAGCACUUUACAACCGGUUUCUUUUAUUUAUUUAUUUUUAUUUGGAAAGUCUCUGUUAAAGGGAAGUUUUUCCUGUCCACUACAUGCAUGUUCAGUUGCCUAACAUUUAAAUAACUGGUACAGUGUGAACUUUUUUUUUGAAAGUCUUCCCCGUUAAAGAGAAGUUUUUCCUCCCCACUGUUACCACAUCGAUCCUCAGUAUGAGACAUUGCUUAAGCUUACUUGUAUAACUUAUAACCAGUUUAAAUAGGUAGGAACUUUAAAAAAAAUCUUCCUGUUAAAAGGACGUUUUUCCUUUCCACUGCCACCACAUAUAUAUCCAAUAUGAGACAUUGCUUAAGCUUACGUAACCUUUAGCCAGCGCUUGAUAACCGGUUUGGUUUUUUGUUUUAAAUUAUUUUUGGAAAGUCUUCCUGUUAAAGGGAAGUUUUUCUUUUCCACAGUCACUACAUGCAUGUUCAGUAUGAGACAUUUCACAAGCUUGUGUAACUUUUAACUAAUUUAAAUCUGUUCAGUGUGAUCUUUUUGGAAAUUCUUCCUGUUAAAGGGAAGUUUUUCUUUUUCACUGUCGCCACAUGGAUCCUCAAUACGACGAAUGGCUUAAGCUUACUUGCUUUACUAAACCAUCUUAAAUAAUUGCUACAGUGUGAAUUUAUUUUUUUUUGGGAAAGUCUUCCUGUUAAAGGGAAGUUUCUCCUUCCCACCGUCACCACACGCCUCCUCAGUAUGUCUGCAAUGGUGGAUACGUUUGAGCUCAUGGUUGUGAAUUUAAGGCCUUAUCAAUACCACGUGGUAUAUGGACUGAGAAGAUGGAUGCUGAUCCGCAGUUUUUGUUGAGAUGGAGACUCUGAAGGCACCAGAUGGUGUUAGACUGGUGGGGAAAUAUGGAUGUCAAGAUGGUUGCUAGGGCACUGGACUGUGAACCCAAUGCCAGGAAAUGUGGUUUGCUCCUUCCUGUAGUCACUCCUUAAGGCUUGAAGUCGUCGGAGGAGUUCAUGGACAUUGGUAGCAAACGUGUACAACGAAGUCAUUGGUUGAGUUCAUGGACAUUGGUAGCAAACAGUCAUCGGAUGAGUUCAUGGAAUUUGGUAGCAAACAGUCAUCGGAUGAGUUCAAGGAAUUUGGUAGCAAACAAAGUCAUCGGAUGAGUUCAAGGAAUUUGGUAACAAAGGUAGGUGUUUUGGUCUUAGGUGCAACAACCAGAACUUUGAUUCGCUCAACACAGGAAAAACAUGGUAGGUUAUAUGAAAGUUUGGUGUUCUGGUCUUGGGUAUAACGACCAGAACAUAUCUUGUAUUCUCUGGUUUGUAAUCAAAUGUGUUACUAACCCCUAGGGAAAAGUCUUUCAGACAGGCUUCAGGGUUUGGCCUGAAACCUGUGCCGUCCUGUUGUCCUUCAGGAAUCCUCCUGGAUCAUGUUUUCGUCUCUGAUUUCGCCCAUCGACCCUCCAUUGACGGACGGAAAAGCCCUUCGCCACCCCACUGAUGGACGACCUUAGUGACCUUACCAUCACCCUCAACAGUCUUCCUCAAAUGCUGCAGGAAUCCUCCUGGAUCAUCUUGUCACCUCUGAUUUUGCCCUUCAUCGGCCCUCAACACCUGCCGGAGAAGUCCUUCAUCUCCCACCCACGGAUGGAUGACCAUGGAUCAUCUUGUUUUUGACUCCGAUUUCGCCCUUCAUCGAUCCUCCAUUGACGGACGGAAAAGCCCUUCGCCACCCUGCUGAUGGAUGACCUUUGUGACCUCGUGACCUUACCACCGGGCUCAGCAAGUUUUCUGGAGGAAACCAGGAAGUGUUCCCAGGUGGGCAGGAGUCCUUCUGGAUCGUUUCGUCUUGGAUUUCACCCUUCAUCGACCCUCCAUUGACAGGCGGAAAAUACCUUCAUCAUCCUACCAUCAGGCCCAUCAAUCUUCCUCAAGAAGUGCUGCAGGAAUCCUCCUGGAUCAUCUUCUCCUUCAUUGACGGACGGAAAAGGCCUUCAUCGACGAUGGAUGGACUUUUUUUCUUUUUGGACAGUUUUAUUUAGAGACUAAAUAAUUAACUUUUAUGUUGAAUAUUUAAAAUGUCUUAAUGUUGUUCUGAUCUGCCUCUAUCUGCUACUGUAUGUUUGGGUUACGAGAAGUUUUCUGUUUUUUUCUCCAUAGAAGCUACACCUGGUCCGGCGCUCUGAUUGGCUGUGGUUUCUUCCCAGAGGAGGGCAUUGGCUGACGUGAUGUUGCCAUCACCCAACAGUUCUCCUUCUCCCAUUGUUAACUCUUCACUUCCAUGAACAUGGAAAGUUCUCCUGAUCAAUUCACCUGUUGUGUUUCUGCUCCGUUUUCUCUCGGCUCCAGUCAAUUGUGGCAGAUGGCUGCUGGUACUGAACCCGGUUCUGGUUCUGCUGGCGGUUUCUUCCUGUUAGAGGGGGAGUUCUUCCUCUCCUCAGUCACCAAAUGCAUGCUCAGUGUGAAGGUUGGCUGUAAAGUCAACAACUCAACUUGGGCGAUUUGCUGUCACUCCCUGCUGGUCAGGAGGAGUGAAUGGUGUAAGUAGUGACUCCAUACAGUUUGCUGGGUUUCCUUUGGUACAAACUUUAUUAACUACUUUAAUAAUUAACUGGACUUAUUGUGCUGUUAAGCAAUAAUAGAAAUUUUAGUUCAGUCACAAAAUGCAUUGAGAUGACAUUUGUUGUGAAUUGGCACAAUAUAAAAUUUAAAAAAAAAAACAAAAACUAACAACCAAUAUUAAAAACAAACUCAAAACUCCAACAACCAAUGCAAAAAAUCGUUCAAAACUCCAAAAACUGUUCAAAACUCCAACAACCAAUGCAAAAAACCGUUCAAAACUCCAACAACCAAUGCAAAAAAAACGUUCAAAACCCCCAAUAACGAUACAAAAAACCAUUGAAAAAAUGUUAAUUCACAACAAUGUAAUUGUCAAGGCAUUUUACAGAAGAUAAUCUCAAUUCAGUCAUAAAUUCCAAUUGAUUCUAGUUAUCAAUGCAUUAGGUUCAGUUUGUUAUUGAAGUAGUUUACGUUUGUACCAAAGGAAACCCAGCAGACUGUAUGGAGUCACUACUUACAGCCUUCACUCCUCCUGACCAGCAGGGGGUGACAGCAAAUCGCCCAAGUUGAGUUGUUGACUUUACAGCCAACCUUCACACUGAGCAUGCAUUUAGCGACUGAGGAGAGGAAGAACUCCCCCUCUAACAGGAAGAAAUCUCCAGCAGAACCAGAACUGGGUUCAGUACCAGCAGCCAUCUGCCACAAUUGACUGGAGCCGAGAGAAAAUGGAGCAGAAACAGAACAGGUGAAUUGAUCAGGAGAACUUUCCAUGUUCAUAGAAGUGAAGAGUUAACAAUGGGAGAAGGAGAACUGUUUGGUGAUGGCAACAUCAUGUCAGCUAAUGCCCUCCUCCGGGAAGAAACCACAGCCAAUCAGAGCGCCAGACCAGGUGUAGCUUCUAUGGAGAGAAAAAUAACAUUUUAUACUGAUAGUACUAUUCAUGUUGAUGGGUUAGGUUCUCCUACUCACUGUUCAGUUUGACCCUACAUGUAAUAAAACUUUGUAAUUCAGCUUA